CCUUCGAUAGCUCAGUUGGUAGAGCGGUGGACUGUACAAGUUGUGAUGGUUAUCCAUAGGUCGCUGUUCGAAUACAGGCUAGAAGGA
rfam:Ciona savignyi cont_58525, whole genome shotgun sequence.